GUUGCGUUUGUGGGGUCGUGGGAUGUUGUUUGUCUGGGCUGCUGACCAGACGGGAAGUCAGAAAACAGUGUGUUAGUGGAAUCAGUUUGGGAAACUGAACCGUAGAGGGUGAUAGUCCCGUACGCGAAAACAUGCUGUCUUCCUUACAGUAUUCCCAAGUAGCAGCGAGCUCGUGGAAUUUGCUGUGAAUCUGGCGGGACCACCCGCUAAGCCUA
rnacentral:rRNA from 1 species